rnacentral:rRNA from 1 species
CAGCAGCCACGGGAAUACGGAGGGUGCAAGCGUUAAUCGGAAUUACUGGGCGUAAAGCGCACGCAGGCGGUCUGACAAGUCAGAUGUGAAAUCCCCGGGCUUAACCUGGGAACUGCAUUUGAAACUGUCAGGCUGGAGUCUUGUAGAGGGGGGUGGAAUUCCAGGUGUAGCGGUGAAAUGCGUAGAGAUCUGGAGGAAUACCGGUGGCGAAGGCGGCCCCCUGGACAAAGACUGACGCUCAGGUGCGAAAGCGUGGGGAGCAAUCAGGAUUAGAUACCCCUGUAGUCCCUGUCUCUUAUAC